AAUAAGCUUAGAUACGCCUUUUGGUGGAUGGCUAGGCUUGAGAAACCGAGGAAGGUCGUGGCAAGCUGCGAUAUGCUCAGGGGAGGCGCACGCAUCCUUUGAUCCUGAGAUUACCUAAUGGGACUUCCUUCAUUCUUCGGAAUGACAUCACUUCGUGAUGGGGAACCCGGUGAACUGAAACAUCUUAGUAACCGGAGGAAAAGAUAUCAAUUGAUAUGCCGUGAGUAAUGGCGAACGAAAGCGGUAUAGGGCAAACCGAAUCCGUGCAGGUGACUGUAUGGAGAUGUGGCUGACUAGUGUACUGGUCUGAGAGUUUUGGCGAAGUUUUUUGGAACAUUAUGCCAAAGAGGGUGAUAGCCCCGUAGUUAAAACUUGAAGAGUAGAUUGCUAGCAUC
rnacentral:rRNA from 1 species